rnacentral:tRNA from 1 species
GCCGGAGUGGCGAAAUGGCAGACGCACGGGAUUUAAAAUCCCGGGCCCGCAAGGGCAUGAGGGUUCGACCCCCUCCUCCGGCACCA